rnacentral:rRNA from 1 species
UUGAACGCUGGCGGCAUGCUUUACACAUGCAAGUCGAACGGUAACAGGGAGCUUGCUCCGCUGACGAGUGGCGAACGGGUGAGUAAUGCAUCGGAACGUACCCAGUCGUGGGGGAUAACGUAGCGAAAGUUACGCUAAUACCGCAUAUUCUGUGAGCAGGAAAGCAGGGGAUCGCAAGACCUUGCGCUUUAGGAGCGGCCGAUGUCGGAUUAGCUAGUUGGUGAGGUAAAGGCUCACCAAGGCGACGAUCCGUAGCGGGUCUGAGAGGAUGAUCCGCCACACUGGGACUGAGACACGGCCCAGACUCCUACGGGAGGCAGCAGUGGGGAAUUUUGGACAAUGGGCGCAAGCCUGAUCCAGCCAUGCCGCGUGAGUGAAGAAGGCCUUCGGGUUGUAAAGCUCUUUCGGCGGGGAAGAAAUCGCACGGGUUAAUACCUCGUGUGGAUGACGGUACCCGAAUAAGAAGCACCGGCUAACUACGU